ACGGAAGGCAGCAGUGGGGAAUAUUGGGCAAUGGGCGAAAGCCUGACCCAGCAACGCCGCGUGAAGGAAGAAGGUCUUCGGAUUGUAAACUUCUUUUAUAAGGGACGAAGAAAGUGACGGUACCUUAUGAAUAAGCCACGGCUAACUACGUGCCAGCAGCCGCGGUAAUACGGAGGAUGCAAGCGUUAUCCGGAUUUAUUGGGUUUAAAGGGUGCGUAGGCGGACUGUUAAGUCAGCGGUGAAAUACCACGGCUCAACCGUGGGGCUGCCGUUGAUACUGGCGGUCUGGAGUACGAUCGGCGCCGGCGGAAUGUGUCAUGUAGCGGUGAAAUGCAUAGAUAUGACACAGAACACCGAUCGCGAAGGCAGCUGGCGAGAACGAUACUGACGCUGAGGCACGAAGGUGCGGGGAUCAAACAGGAUUAGAUACCCUGGUA
rnacentral:rRNA from 1 species